rnacentral:RNase_P_RNA from 1 species
CCCGCAGACCGCCUUAUCGCCGUCCCUUUCGGGAAGGAGGAAAGUCCGGACACCACAGGGCAGCAUAGCGGGUAACACCCGUCAUUCCGUGAAAAUGGGAGAGGACAAGUGCAACAGAAAGUAUGUACAGGUAAUGCUGUAGUGAAACCAGGUAAACUCUAUGCGGUGAAAUUUCAAGUAUAUCAGCAUUUAAGGUUGGCUCGGCCGUUGCUGAAGGGUAGAAAGAUGGAUCCCGCGGGUAACUUCGGGACUAGAUAAAUGAUAAGGGUUCCUUUGGGAAUACAGAAUCCGGCUUACAGGUCUGCUUUUUUU